CGGGGCGUGGCUCAGUUUGGCUAGAGCGCCGCGUUCGGGACGCGGAGGUCGGAGGUUCAAAUCCUCUCGCCCCGACCA
rnacentral:tRNA from 1 species